rnacentral:rRNA from 1 species
GACGAACGCUGGCGGCGUGCUUAACACAUGCAAGUCGAACGGAAAGGCCCUGCUUUUGUGGGGUGCUCGAGUGGCGAAAGGGUGAGUAACACGUGAGUAACCUGCCCUUGACUUUGGGAUAACUUCAGGAAACUGGGGCUAAUACCGGAUAGGAGCUCCUGCUGCAUGGUGGGGGUUGGAAAGUUUCGGCGGUUGGGGAUGGACUCGCGGCUUAUCAGCCUGUUGGUGGGGUAGUGGCUUACCAAGGCGUUGACGGGUAGCCGGCCUGAGAGGGUGACCGGCCACAUUGGGACGGAGAUACGGCCCAGACUCCUACGGGAGGCAGCAGUGGGGAAUAUUGCACAAUGGGCGGAAGCCUGAUGCAGCAACGCCGCGUGCGGGAUGACGGCCUUCGGUUUGUAAACCGCAUUCGCCUGUGACGAAGCGUGAGUGACGGUAAUGGGUAAAGAAGCACCGGCUAACUACGUG